CCCGCUCCAGGCAGGCCACCCCCUCCAGUGGGGCUCCCGAGUGUAUCGGUUGUGUCGCACGGAAGACGCGUGAACCCGAGACCUUCCUGUUUCCCCCGUGUCGAGGCCCGGAGUUACUUGGAAUUACUGAUCAUCUGUCUUCUGAGCUCCCAGCCUGUGGGGCUGUGACGUCACGGACGUGGGGGGAGGAGGAGGGCCUGGGCCCGGGUCCCCUCGACCCUCCCCACACGGUCCCCGUCGGGGAAGAGAACUGCCCGCCUCCAGCACACCCUGCAGGAACGCGGACGCGGGUGUGGCCACAGGCUGGCCGACCCCGGACCAAAGCCGUCUGCACCCGGAGGGGCCCCAGCGCUGACCUCCCCCCUCUCCCCUCAUUGUAACAGUAAAUGUCACACCCGGGGUGGAGAUCACAGCCAGGGCCCCCGCCUCCGCGCGCUCGCUCUUCACCCCUCUCCCGCCCACCUGUCCUGGGGUGAGCCCACCGUCCGUCCCGCCGCCUCCGGGAUGCGGGGCAGCAGCCCCAACUCAGCCGAGCCCGACGCUCCUGGUGGGCAGCGCGGGUCAGCUCCUGCUGCGGGGCGAGCCUAGGGUCCUGCUGGGCAGCAGGAGAGCGUCAGAACCUGAGGGUGUACCUGUGCUGUUGUUGCCUAGACGGGGAGCUCAGCCCCUACACGGAGGUAGGCGUGCAGAGGGUCAGUCCCAAAGCGCAGGUGAGCAAAUCCCUGGGGGGUCACAGAGGGAGGGCAGCUAGUUCACCAGGGGCAGGAACAGCAAGAAUCUCAGUGUGGGGAGUUCCAGCGUGUGGUCCCUCGUCUCUGACAAGCUUUCUUUGCUUAGGACAGCUCCUCUGGAAAUGUUUUUGGUAGCAUGCAAGUAAUUUUAGCAUUUAUUUUCUAACUAUUUCCGCGGUGUUUCCUGAGUUAGCAUGUAUCUGGCUGGCAUCGAGCUCGUCCCGUUCGGAGCGUUUCCUGCUUCCUCGCAGCUGGAAAGAACCUCGAGGGAAAUCUCUCAAGGAGAGUGUAACGGGCCCUGUGUGGGGGUCUCUCAGUGCAGCAGAGCAUGAAAUGAAGCCAAGCGCGGCUGGCGCUUUGACCCCAAGUUCCAGAGGAGCCCGUGGGGCUUGUGACCCUGAAGGUGAAGAAUGAACAUGUGUGGAAACGAGAAUCCAGCAUCGGAAGGAAGGAACCUCAUUCAGGCAGUUUUGCUACCAAGAGGCGCCUGGGCCCCGGGAGGCGCUGCUCCGGCUCCGCGAGCUGAGCCGCCAGUGGCUGAGCCCAGAAACACACACACGAAGGAGCAGAUCCUGGGGCUGCUGGUGCUGGAGCAGUUCCUGACCAUCCUGCCUGAGGAGCUCUAGGCCUGGGUGCGGGGACAGCACCCCGGGAGCGGAGAGGAGGCGAUGACUGUACUGUAAGGUCUGGAGUGGGAGCUGGACUGCAUGAGGCCGGCCAACAGGUGGGGGAAAAUGCAGUUGUCCAGAGGAAGAAUUUUUCCACCCAAAAGGCUACCGCUGGUCCCUUUGGAAAACACUGAAGUAAAGAACGGGGCGUCUUUCCAACGCAGGGAGACAAAGUGGGACGAAUCCAUUAGAGACGACACAACAGACACCACGAGGCUGACGUGGCUCCGAUGCCGUGGCGGCCGUGUAAGUGAACCCGAGUGUAAGCCCGUCAGUGCCUCCUCACUUUGCUGCUGCUCUGGUCCGCGGCCCUCCUCAGCUGCUGGGGGCCUUCCUGGCUGCCUCUGGCCUCGAGCCGCCUGAGUCAAUCCAGUUGUGCUUCAAUAAAGUCUUAAAAUGUUUAA